UCCUGUGUCAAGAUCGCGUGCGUGCGUUCUUCCAUCUCUUUUAGAGUCCAGAAUUCUAACAGCCAUCUUCGUUGAGCUCCAAGGUGAGGAUCCCCGGCGUGUACCCCUGACCAUGGCCUCUCUUUCUUCUCUAUCCCUGUCGGCGCUCAGUGCCAAGGCAGCGCCCUGGUCGCUCGGUCAGCCAUGGCCAUGGCCGGGCGCAGCUCCUACGGUGAACUCUGGCCCCCACGGUACGGCGUAUUUCUGCCUCUUGCCCGUGCGCGACCCAGCUCGGCAGGCGCGACCUUGUCCACCAUGGCGCUGACGUUGAGCCCCCACCCUCCCCCAGUCGAGCCCCUAGCCAAUUAGUCGCUGCUGGCCGAGCCCGGCCGCUGCCAGUGUUGUAAGCCGCAGCCUCCCCUACGCGACCAACCUAGAAUCCUAGAUGCAAGUGCGUCCAUUGUUGUAGGAAGAAGACAACUCCUCUCAUCGUGGGUUUUGUGUGGGAGAGAGAGGUGCGUGGGCCCACCCGAUUCCCUGCAUGCAACCUGCACGGCAACAUCCACACUCAUGCAUGCAGCAAAAUUAGGAAACCACACUAGACCGAGAUUUGUUGUGGAUGUGCUCUUUGUGUCGUGUCUUCCGGCCAAUAGAUUUACGACGCAUCACUUGGCCACCAUGUUUUAUAAAAAAAGACCCUGCUUUUAUUUCAGAAUUAAUUUACUAUUUCUCUGAGUCUCGCAAAAGUCAUUUGGUACCCCAAAAAUAUAUAUCUAAUUGUUUAUAUGCCCUUAUAUAUUUAAACCUCAUGUGGUAAAUCCGUUUCAAUUUGUUCCCAAUUGUGUUAACCUCGUAACAAAUGACAAUUUCGUAUUAGUAAUAUUAUUUGGUCACGAUACGUGUUUUAAUUAAUUAGUUGAUUAUUUAUUUACCUGAGCUAUUAAAGUAGUAAUUUACUUAAACUAAUUUAUGGUUUUAGUUGCACUUUAUAAGUACCUGUUAAUAUGAUUACGCUUACUCGAAUGUUUUCGAACUAAUACUUGUUUAGUAUAAACGCGACACCUAUUCAGUAUUUCUCGCCUGUCUUGCGCGUUGUUCACACGUGUGGCGCUUGUCGUCGCGCGUUGUUCGCGCGUCGUUCAUGCUGUUUCACAUGUCGCGUGUGCUGUUUCACGUGUCGCGUGUCGUUCACGCACGUCACGUGCUGUCCGUGGGCGUAAUUAAACUAUGUUGCAUAUAACCACUUGUGUUAGUUAAUUAAUUACUUGUUUAAUCCGACAACUAUUAGAAUAGAAGAUUAAUCGAAACUAAGCAGUAGUUUUUGUUUAAUAAAGGUCGAUUAAUAUAAUCACGUCGAAUCAAAUGUUUUAACUAUAGUACUUGUUUAGAGUAAAUGUGAUAUCCUCUCGACCGUAGCUUCGCCUACUGUGCUUCUUUUUCUCGUGUGACCGCGGUAGCGAGCUCUAUUUCGUAUUGCUCGUUUUUUUAUAAUGGUUUUCUUUGUAUGGUGUAAUGUUCUUAUGCAUAUAUGUUUGUUUGCUUGUGCCUGUUCGUAUUCGCUUCAUGUUGCGAUUAGAUCGCGAUUCGUUUUCGAGCUUCGAGGAAUCGACAGUCAAGCUUCGGUGACCAUGUGAUCAGGUUCUUUGAGUUCAAGAAAGUUAAAGACCCUGAGCAUCUGUUUGGUGAAGGCAAAUGUCCCUUGACCCAUCUAUGCCCUACUCAUUUUACAAUUCACUCCCCACAUUCACACAAUUUAUACCUAAGGAUUGACUAGCUUUUGUUUAUCAUGUCCUUGUUUACCUAUGUGGGUUGGGUUAUUUUGGUUUAGCUUUAUGCUAGUGCUCCACCCUAAUCAAUGAACAUGAUGAGAUUAUUUAUGAUACGCUGUUUUUCCCUUUUGAUUAUGAUGAUGAUAUUGUGGCAUUUAAGGGGACUCGAGCGGUUUCUCGAGUGCCUCUCCGUAAGGACUGGAUCGUUGGAUGACCGCCCGGGAAAACAGUGCAACCAUGAGGGUGGUAUGGGACACCCUUGGCCAAGUAAUUAGGGAAGUCUUAUGUUGGGUGCUGGUUUUGGUCAUUGGGGGACGGAGGCAUCUGUUAUGGCUCCUAUAUUCUCGCUCAGGGAUCUAGGUACGAGCAUCGUCCCACAGCUUUUUCCUAAGGGCGGAGGUAUAGGUUUUGGUACGUCAGAUGGUCUCUAUGGCAAUGGUGGCAUCUGUUAUGGCUCCUAUAAUCUCGCUCAGGGAUCUAGGUACGGGCAUCGUCCCACGGCUUUUUCCUGAGGUCGGAGGUAUAGGUUUUGGUACGUCAGAUGGUCGCUAUGCAAUGGUCAUUUUCAACAUUCGCAUACUGAGGACCCUAGGGAAAAGCCAUGUAGUGAAACCUUGCCUACUCACCUUGGAAGUGUUUAAGGGUCCGUACAACCCGAGGCAAAAGGGAUCACGACUCAUGGGUAAAGUGUGCAACCUCUGCAAAGUGUUAUGAAACUGAUAUAUCAGCCGUGCUCGCGGUUAUGAGCGGCCAAGGGAGCUCAAUUGAUUAGAGACACAUUGAUCAGAGAUGUUUUGUUUACAGGUGAUAAUGAGGAUGAUGGUUUUGAUUAUGUUUAUGGUAAUGGUUUUUGGUAUUCUUUCCGUUUGGAAAGGGUACUUUUGGGUUAACAACUUGGGUUAAUGCUAAAACUUGACUCUCUACUAGUAAUAAUAACCUGACCAACUAAAAGGAACUGCUUGACCUUAACCCCACAUAAAGCUAGUCCACUACGGCCAAACGGGACAACUGCUGAGUAUGUUGAUGUGUACUCACCCUUGCUUUACACACCAACCCCCCAGGUUGUCCACAUUGCAACCACUACUCAGGAGAAGAUGGAGUCAUGGAGGAGGACUUCCAGGAGUUCCAAGAGUACGAUGAGUUCUAGGCAUGGGUUAGCGGCAAACCCCCAAUCGGCUGCCUGUGAAGGCCGUGUUUAUCUAUGUUUUGUUUUCGCACUUUGAUAAUUGUUAUUGACUAUGUGGAUGUCUCGGACAUCAUGAUGUAAUUGACUAUUACCCUUUUUUAUGUUAUUAUUCGAGCACUGUGUGAUGAUGUCUGGUUAUAUAACUGUUGUGUACGUGAAUUACUAAUCCA
rnacentral:lncRNA from 1 species